rnacentral:rRNA from 1 species
AACGCUAGCUACAGGCUUAACACAUGCAAGUCGAGGGGCAGCAUGAUUGAAGCUUGCUUCAAUUGAUGGCGACCGGCGCACGGGUGAGUAACACGUAUCCAACCUUCCGUACACUCAGGGAUAGCCUUUCGAAAGAAAGAUUAAUACCUGAUGGUAUCUUAAGCACACAUGUAAUUAAGAUUAAAGAUUUAUCGGUGUACGAUGGGGAUGCGUUCCAUUAGGUAGUAGGCGGGGUAACGGCCCACCUAGCCUACGAUGGAUAGGGGUUCUGAGAGGAAGGUCCCCCACAUUGGAACUGAGACACGGUCCAAACUCCUACGGGAGGCAGCAGUGAGGAAUAUUGGUCAAUGGACGAGAGUCUGAACCAGCCAAGUAGCGUGAAGGAUGAAGGUCCUACGGAUUGUAAACUUCUUUUAUAAGGGAAUAAGACCUCCCACGUGUGGGAGCUUGUAUGUACCUUAUGAAUAAGCAUCGGCUAACUCCGUGCCAGCAGCCGCGGUAAUACGGAGGAUGCGAGCGUUAUCCGGAUUUAUUGGGUUUAAAGGGAGCGCAGACGGGUCGUUAAGUCAGCUGUGAAAGUUUGGGGCUCAACCUUAAAAUUGCAGUUGAUACUGGCGUCCUUGAGUGCGGUUGAGGUGUGCGGAAUUCGUGGUGUAGCGGUGAAAUGCUUAGAUAUCACGAAGAACUCCGAUUG